rnacentral:rRNA from 1 species
UACGGAGGGGGCUAGCGUUGUUCGGAAUUACUGGGCGUAAAGCGCACGUAGGCGGCUUUGUAAGUUAGAGGUGAAAGCCCGGAGCUCAACUCCGGAAUUGCCUUUAAGACUGCAUCGCUAGAAUCAUGGAGAGGUGAGUGGAAUUCCGAGUGUAGAGGUGAAAUUCGUAGAUAUCCGGAAGAACACCAGUGGCGAAGGCGACUCACUGGACAUGUAUUGACGCUGAGGUGCGAAAGCGUGGGGAGUAAACAGG